CUGAGUUUACGCUCUAUAACCCUUUGUGAACAUACCUAACCGUUGCUUCGGCGGGCGGGAGGUCCGCCCCCCCCCCGGCCCCGCUCGCGGGGAGCCCGCCGGAGGAAAAACCCAACUCUUAUUUUAACGACGUCUCUUCUGAGUGGCACAAGCAAAUAAUCAA
rnacentral:misc_RNA from 1 species